ACUCAGCCUCCUCCUAGCAGGUGGAGUGCUCCCUGGCCUGCCUGGAGCAGGAGAGGCACCAGAUGCAGGGAUCCCAGGGACAGGCUGAGUGGAGGAGGCCAGACCAGAACAUAGAAGACAAGAGAUGCUGGUGCCAGGCCUGCAGAUCCAAGAGCAGAGCUGGGAUGGAGGCAGGGCCCAGGAGCUUCGGGACCCAGAGUCUCCAUGCCAGCAGCUGAGACCCCUGCCCAGGCUCAGGACACAGUCCGUCUGCAGGAGCAGUUGCUGAUACUCACUGAGGUGAACAAGAGACUCAGAAGAGCUGGGCCAGAGCCACCAGCAACUAGGGGCCUGCUUGGAGCAGCUGCAGCAUCUGCAGGGAGAGCAGAUGGUGUUGGGGGGCCAUUGCAGGCCCUGGAGGCAGAGCACACCUGGCUACUUCAGGAGAAGUACACUCCAGGUCCUGGAGGUACCAGUGCCCCUCAGGAAAGAGCUAGAGGCACAAGAAUCACAUCCCAGGCUUCAUGAGGAGAUGGCUGAAUAUUGGAAGGCACGCUGGCACCGGCUGGCAGUUGCCCUGAAAUUUAAAGAGGAGGAACUGCAGAGACUCCAGAGGCAGAGUGGGACCUGGCCUCCCCAGGGCAGACCGCAGCAGAGACCCCAGGCCAGCCCCCGGAGUCUGCAAAUGAAAGGAGCUGUGGGAGCCCAGGUCUGCCAAGGAGCUGGAGUCUGCAGUGUGGACUCCACCAGAGGCCAAUGGGAGGUGGGUUCAGAGCUGGCUGAGAUGCAGACUGAGCUCGAGAAGGUCUGCAAUGUGCUGGAAGCUUGAGACUCAGAGCUGAGAGCUGAGCAGUGGGCCCUGGAGGCUGCCCAGGACCAGGUGCUCAGCAGCUGCCCCCCUGCACUGUGCUUCCGACUGGCCUGCAUGGCUCCCACAGGCUCCCCCAUGCCCGAUCCCUGCUGCCUGCCGCAUGGUGCCCAUGCAGGCCUUGACCUUUCCUUCCCCACACUCCGUCACUCAAGUUCCUCCCAAGCCCUUGCUGCCCACUGGGAGGGCUCAGCCUGGAACGUGUUCACUGCUUCCCCCCGCCCACCUCUAAGCUGGUGGAGAGCCUCCCUGAGAAACUGAGGCUGCAGCAGCAGCUGAAAAGGAGCUGGUAGAGAAGCAGUGACUGCGGGGUGAGGGGUGCCUGCAUCUGAGGGGCUCUUUGGGGAGAAACCCCACCCUCCCUCCCAGAGAUGCUCCUCAGCCCCCACAGCUCUUCCUCUUCUCUGAGAACCUGGGGCAGGGGGCAGGGGGGCAGGGGCAUUUAGGGACACGUUGUGGAGGCUGCCCUCUCAUCCCCUCAGGGGUUAGGAUGGGUGGGGCUGAGCAGCGGCCUGAGGCCUGACCUAUCUCCUGGUCUGCCUUCUUCUCUCUGAAGAGGGGAAGCCAGGGAAAGCAGCAGCAGGAGGGUGGGCUGUGGGGCACAGGGAAUCAGACCAUCUGGGCCCCUGGGCCUGGAGCAAUGGAUGGAAGGAGAAUGGCAGUAGAACCGAGAAGUCUUACACUUCACUCUCCACCACUCCCCAGCUUGGCGAGCAUGAGCAAGUCCUGCCUUCACUAAGCCUCACUAUCCUCUGUAAAAUGGAAACACGGACAGUACCUAUGACACAGGAUUGAUGUGAGGAUGACAUGGGACACAGUGCACCGGGGACAGUGCUUAUGUUC
rnacentral:lncRNA from 1 species